rnacentral:rRNA from 1 species
GAUGAACGCUAGCGGCAGGCUUAAUACAUGCAAGUCGAGGGACAGCACAGGUAGCAAUACUGGGUGGUAACCGGCAAACGGGUGCGGAACACGUACACAACCUUCCUUUAAGUGGGGGAUAGCCCAGAGAAAUUUGGAUUAAUACCCCGUAAUAUAGUUGAAUGGCAUCAUUUGAUUAUUAUAGCUACGGCGCUUAAUGAUGGGUGUGCGGCUGAUUGGAUAGUUGGCAGGGUAACGGCCCACCAAGUCUACGAUCAGUAGCUGAUGUGAGAGCAUGAUCAGCCACACGGGCACUGAGACACGGGCCCGACUCCUACGGGAGGCAGCAGUAAGGAAUAUUGGUCAAUGGACGCAAGUCUGAACCAGCCAUGCCGCGUGAAGGAUUAAGGUCCUCUGGAUUGUAAACUUCUUUUAUUUGGGACGAAAAAGGGCCUUUCUAGGUCAACUGACGGUACCAGAUGAAUAAGCACCGGCUAACUCCGUGCCAGCAGCCGCCGUAACAC